GAAUGUGUGGUGCAGUGAUUUGAGUGCUGGACUACAACUUUGGAGACCAGGGUUCAAGUCCCAGCAUAGCCA